GGAAAUAGUAGAAUGUGUUGUGAUUAAACGCUUGAGACCAGCUUUUAAAGAUAACUGGAAGAAAUCACACCCAGGCUUAAGGGAUUUAUGUCAAACAAUCCAAAAAUGUUGGGCACAUAAUGCCGAAAAAAGAAUAUCGGCCGGGUCUUUAUAUGAACAAUGUAAUCAGUUUCAAGUUAGUCGAAAUGAAGCCAAAUGGAGUCGUUGGUCGCUCAAUGCACAAAUAGAAUCAGAUGAGGAAAUCGAUUCCGUGCCCCGUGCCUCCGGUAGUCGCUAGUAAAUUAUUUAGUGUGGUGCAGUCUCCACUCUCAAGUCACUAAAUAUACGUCUUGUUUAUGGUGCGACUACUACUCGAUC